rnacentral:lncRNA from 1 species
ACAAAAACAAGUUUCUGCUAAUGCGUGAAGAUAAGGGUAAUAAAGCUUGGUAUUAAAGGGAGCCUAGUCUGUGUCAGCUACCAUCUGGCAGUAUGUACCAUAGUAGUGAGCAAAAUCAGCAUGAUCUCAUGGAACUAAUCAUCAAAGGAAAGCAUCCUGGGAAUUCAAUAUUUUCUCCAAACUUUCUGAAGAUACUGGUGACAAGGGUGAAGAUUGACCAUGUGAAUAUGAGAAGUAAGAUCAAGGCAAGAGCUAUGACAAAUCCACAGUCAAUAUUAUACUGAAUGAGCAAAAGCUGGGAGCAUUCCCCUUAAGACCUGGAACAAGACAAGGAUGCCGACAAUCACUGCUCCUAUUCAGCACGGUACUGGAAGUCCUAGCCAAAGCAAUCAGGAAAGAGAAAGCAAUAAAAGUCUUCCAAACAGGAAAAGAAGAAGUCAAAUUAUUUCUCUUAAAACUGAUGAUAUGAUUCUAUAUCUAAAAAACCCUAUGGACUCC